ensembl:lncRNA
GCAGUCUGAUUGCAGCAAUGAGAAUCAGCUGCCGUAAUUGGCUCACACCAGUCGCCUGUUUGCAAUUCCACCUCCCAGCAUAUAAGCCAGCUCUGUCAUUCCCUCCCUGCUCCACCACGGAGUCGCAUAUCCUGCGUCAGCUCAUGACCACCAGAGCUUCUUGGACACGACUCUGCCCUCGUAGCCCUGCCAGUUCCUGUAUGGGUUUCCUACCUACCCCUUCAGCUGAGUUUCUUCCCGUUCCCUUCCUCCCUGACCGUUCCACCUGCCUGCGGUCUGAUUGCAGCAAUGAGAAUCAGCUGCCGUAAUUGGCUCACACCAGUCGCCUGUUUGCAAUUCCACCUCCCAGCAUAUAAGCCAGCUCUGUCAUUCACUCCCUGCUCCACCAUGGACUUGCAUAUCCUGCGUCAGCUCAUGACCACCAGAGCUUCUUGGACACGACUCUGCCCUCGUAGCCCUGCCAGUUCCUGUAUGGGUUUCCUACCUACCCCUUCAGCUGAGUUUCUUCCCGUUCCCUUCCUCCCUGACUGUUCCACCUGCCUGCGGUCUGAUUGCAGCAAUGAGAAUCAGCUGCCGUAAUUGGCUCACACCAGUCGCCUGUUUGCAAUUCCACCUCCCAGCAUAUAAGCCAGCUCUGUCAUUCACUCUCUGCUCCACCAUGGACUUGCAUAUCCUGCAUCAACUCAUGACCACCAGAGCUUCUUGGACACGAUGCUGCCCUUGUACCCCUGCCAGUUCUUGUUUGGGUUUCCUACCUACCCCUUCAGCUGAGUUUCUUCCUGUGACCAUGUGCUACAAAGCAUUACCGGGUAACAAAUACACCUGAUGAAGAUCAGAAAUAUUCAAGCAGAAACCUUCAGCUUCCACGAAGGUGGAAAUCAUUCUGCCAUGAAGACCUAACAACCUUCAAAGACAAUUUGAAAAUGGGUGACGCGGACCUUCCUGGAGGAUGUUGCACAAGGAGUUUUGUGAUUGUUGCCACAUUCUGGUGUCGACUCCACUCCAUUCCACUUGACUCCAUUUGACUGCACUGAUUGCCUUUUGUAUUUAUAGAUCAUCGUGAGAAAUCGCAAGAAUCGAUUUUUUUUUUUUUUAAUGUUUUGUACAAGUUUG